rnacentral:rRNA from 1 species
GUAGACGGUGGGGUAACGGCCCACCGUGCCGAUAAUCGGUACGGGUUGUGAGAGCAAGAACCCGGAGACGGACUCUGAGACAAGAGUCCGGGCCNUACGGGGCGCAGCAGACGCGAAACCUUUACACUGCACGACAGUGCGAUAAGGGGAUCCCGAGUGCGAGGGCAUACAGUCCUCGCUUUUCGUGACCGUAAGGUGGUCUCAGAAUAAGG